UUUGUACGUGCUUUGCACGUUAGAUUAUUAUGUGUGACCAUAAUACUAAAUCAUGUAAAUUAAAAAUUGAAUAUUCUGUGCUAUAAUCAAAUGGUAACUUCUGGAUUUUUUUACAAUUCGUCUUGAAUCACGGUAGCACAACGGAUUUCUAUAUGAAGAAUGUUUUGAAAAACAUACUUUUAUUCCAAAAGAAAUGUUAUUGACGUGUUUGUGAAAUCUUUUAGCUUUUUCAUGUUCCAACUUGAAAAUACAAAUAAAGUUAGUUUGAUGUUAAUUUUCACCAUUUCAAACAGUAAACUUUAAAUAAUUUAACAUCCGAUGAAGAAAAAUAAAUUAAAAUCUAAAUCUGAAUUUUCUAUAAGUUGUUUGAAUAAUUCUCUUAACAAACAGCAAUACUCGUUUCGUUCCAUAAUAUAGUGCGUAUAUAUUUUUUGAAAAAAGUCAAUCCUCACAAACUUUGACCAAGUUUGUAAAGAAAAACAUUUAUAUCUAGAAUUCCAAGCAUAUAUCAUUAGCUUCAUCGUAAGAUGUAUUCCAUAUUUUUAUAUUUUUGGUAUUGUAGAUAUAAAUAUUUUUUCUAUAAACUUGGUCAAAGUUUAAAAAAUUUGACUUUUAAAAAAACUAUCCACGCUCCAUUAUGAAAUGAAUGAAAUAUUGACAUGCGUACAAUUUUUUCAACAGCAUACUAAUUCUUUAAAAAAAAUGCUUCCGUGCAUGCAUUCAACAGUAUUCAUGCGAGGAGCAAAUUCCUAUAGACCGGUACCCUCAAAGUGCACACUUGUAGGCUUCUAGGCUACACUCCAGUAGUACUACAUUUUGUCUAAUAGGGCCGGUUCCCAAUGUAAAGCUAGCUCGGUUGCUGCUCACGUGAAAGUUUUCGAGCAAGUGUCAGGUUGGUCAGACGCCAGCUGCGUUUAUAACUCUAGAAAGAUCCAUCGAACUCGUUUUGGCGCGCGGUUGUGCGAAGCGAAUCCCAGAAACCAUGACCGUCAGAUAAGUUGGCUUCAACAUUGAUAAGUGGCACGGAUUCAUCCCGUGGAAGAAUCAACGGCUAACAGAUGCUUCUGCAUCACUGUGGGCAGCUAAUCUAAAUUUGAAAAUUGGUGUACUAUAGUAGUAGAGAUAGGCAUUUCAAUUCAGUCCGCAGUCCUUUCCUUCCUCUUAUCCACUCUGCGUCGGCGGCUACGCCCAUCCCGUCGUGCGCCGGCGGCCGCCGUGCCUCGCGCGGGCGGAUGGAGUGCGCUCGCCGGGACGAUGGACGGCGCGGAGAGGCGCGUUCGCGCUCGAGCUCCUGUGCGCGCGCCUCGCGCCUCCUUGCACCGCUCCGGCGGCCACUCGCCACCCGCCGUCGCCGGCGACCACAAGCAGCAACCGUUGUGGCCGCUGCCGGUGUGGAGCGCAUCGAGGCCCGCCUCGCCCCCCUCCUCCGCGGAGACUCAGAAGCCAGCGGUCACCAAAACUUCUGCUCCCAAGGCCCCCUUUUCCAUCCGCCGUCACCGCGCUCCGAGCGUGAAAUCCUCCGCUUCAGGCUGCCGUCAGUGGAGCCGCCUCCGGAGAGGAACGACGGGGCUUGGAUGAGCAUGUGGAAGGUGCGGACCUGCACGAGGCGCUGACCAAGACGCGGUUGUUCUUAUCCGUUGCCUACUUCCUCAGCAACUCCCUCGCCAUCGAGGAAAACUAUGGUUCCCGGAUGAAAAAGACGCGCAUAAAAGUUGCAAAUUUUGAAUAGCAAUUCCUAUGUAUAUAUGAAUGUGCUAAUGGAGGGCUGUGUUGCAGGACUGAUUGGAGGCAACCAAAUCUUGGAGAAUGAUGGAAGAUAAUGGACUCCAGCUUUUAGGAAUGUUAUAUAAGGAUCCAAUUUCAAGCUUUGGACUGUUCCAUAAAUUUGCUGUUGAGAAUCAGGAGGUGAUCAUUGCAUAGGUCUACUGGAAAUUGGUGCCAGAGGAGCUCUCGAUGAAGUUCCUACGAGAACCAAAAUCAAUUCUAGAUGCAUCAGAUAUAUCAAUGGAGGAAGCAUGGUUCCCAGGACCUUCGCACUCAACUGAUGUAUGCAUCUGUUAUCAAACUGAGAGUAGGAGGUAUGCAUAAACCUUUAAUUUUGGGAGACAUAACCACUCUUCGAAUCUUAGCCAGAUUCUUCCAUCUAUAGGAUUUAACUUUCUGUGAAAAGAAUUUCAUGAACACGCAAAGAUUGCCAACUAAACUUUGUACAAAAAAGGUAGACGUGAUAAAUCUAUUUAUCUCUCGCCGAACUACUCUGAAUUUUAUGGUACCUGGUGAAGAUUAAGAAAAUAGUUAUGCCCUGCUAUAUUUAGUGAUAAAUAAGAUACCAAAUGUGACUAAAUAGUUCUGCUUAAGCAUAUGUACCUGCACUCUUUUCAUAUGGUAUUGUCAAAACUUCGGCUGAGAAUAUAUUAAUAGUUGUUUCAAAAUGUUUCCUGUUCAGUCAAGACCUUUGGGACAUUACCAAACGCUAUUGGACAAGAAGAUUGAUGGUUUUCAGCAAGUAAGAUAAUAGUUCAAGUAUCGAAGGGACGUUCGACUUUUGGUGCAUUGUUAGGAAAAUUGUAUUGAGUGUAUUUCACGUUUCUGCUCUGUCUCCAUUUUGCUAUGUCCUUGAAGUUCUUAUGUCACUUGCUAUUUUGAGUGCCCACUAUCAUCUGAACAUGAAGUAACAUGAGAAGUCAAAGUUUUGUGCAUGCCUUUUCUUUAAUAUGUUCAGAUUUAUAGCUCAUGAGAGUAAUGCUUAAGAUUGAUAUUUUAGAUACCAUUUUUGUAUUUAAAGUGCAGGCCGAAUUUCUUACUCCUAUAACUAAACCAAUAUGCUAGCUACUUUGUGUCAGGCGUACUUUUUGGUUUCAUUCAUGGUGCAGGUUAGCUGGUUAUUUACAAGUGUGUGGAGCAUCCAAAAUUCAAGUAAGAACACCAUGCUUCCUUGGUGUGUCCAUAAAUAUAUCUCCAUGCUGGAGCUGUCAGAUGAGUACGGAUCAAAUGAAGAAUGACAAAAACGCCCAGGACUAUUUCAAACUGUUUUAUUUUUCCUACAUUCAGCCAACCGGAGUAUCCUGCUCUCCCUUCUAUAGGUUCUACUCCCUCCGUUCCUAAAUAUAAGUCUUUAGAGAGAUUCCACUAUGGACCACAUACAGAGCAAAAUGAGUGAAUCUACACUCUAAAAUGCAUCUAUAUACAUCCGUAUGUGGUUCAUAGUGUAAUCUCUACAAAGACUUAUAUUUAGGAAUGGAGGGAGUACAUCUAAAUCCUUAUUCUGUUGAAUCAGGUACUUGCAUUCUAUUGUUCAAGAUGUGUAAUUUUUCUGUUGAUUAACAAAAUCAUUGACUUAUGAAAGAACUCUUAUUGACGAAAGUGUACAUGCAAUGAGUUAUGCAGUUCAUAUACAACUUUUACCAAAAGAUGGGUUUCCUUUA